GAGGAAGUGAGAGCGGGACCCAUGUGUGGUUGUGGUCUGAGAGCGGAAGGGUAGACUUUUACAAUCCGGUGCAGCUGGCUGAGAUUGAGAUGCAAAUGUCUCCUGCCAUCUUCAUGGAAGUGCCGCACCGCCACAAUCUCAGGCGGAAAGCCAAAACUGCCAUCCCGCAGGAGUCCUGGGCCUCCCCAGUGGAAGAGCUAACACUUAGAGGGUUUACUAUGUGUUUGCUGGAAAUCCGGGAGCAGAUGAACGAAGUGGUUCUGGAUCAGCGUCUCAUGAGAUGGCAGUCACCUGGAAGUCUGACAGAAAUGGAGAAAAAUCGCCCAAUUAAUUUUCGGCAUCUGGCAUUCAAGCUAAAACUCUUGAGGGAGCCAAUACCUGGCUACCUUCGGUUAGAGACUGGAAGGGAACAAGACCAUAAAAAGAGAGGAGAAAUGCUUCCUCCGUGAGGGAGGAACUGGAUCUUAACCACCUUCCACUCGUGGUCCCUCAAGUUGCUGACAGACCUGACAGGAGUAAAAGUUAAGCAGCUGUCCCCGCUUCCACUCCAAGAGCACCCAGCUGGGCCACCUGACCACUCCUGGCUUACUCAUAACUACCACAGCUCGGAUCUCAUCCAGUGAAAGCUGCAGACUGGCAGUCCACCCCAAAAUAACUCCAACAAGAGGCCAAGACCAACUUUCCAUUAAGCCAGAGAAGCAUAAAUCCUGGGCACAAACCAACGCCCAGAAAUGAUCUAGUCCAGUGAACACGUCAUUCAAUCCUCGGUGGAAGCCCAGUGUAUUAAACAAAUGAAAGUUGAGCUGCUUUGCCUAAAACCUGCUUGGAGCUCAGUCUAGUCGCCACACAAAUAAGACAGAGCCACCAAUCCCACCUACUCAUCUGUUUCCACCAGCAUCACACUGUCUCCUGUUUCCUAGUAAGAUCUGUAAAAAAAAAAAAAAACCACCUCACGAUUUCAUUUGUUCCCCUACUGCCGGAGGAGACUAUGUAUGGCACUCACUAACCAUAUACAGAAUGCUUCUCUGGAAACAAGACUAACAAGCGGAUAAAACUGGUCUACUUCUGACACACAUUUAUAAAAGCUGAUUGCCAAGAUUAAACAAAUUCCCUAGAAUAUCUUUUCCUGAGUCAUAACCAUCUUCACAGCCUUUGAAUUCUUUAUAUAGUAAACUGUUUCUUGGUGCCACUGAAGCCCUUUUCUCAUUUGAUACUAAUCUCAAAGAUCUGGUUUUUUGUUUAAGUUUUGUUACUUUUAAGUAAUCACUACACCCAAUGUGAGGCGCAAAUUUACAACCCUGAGGUCAAGAGUCCCACACUAGGGAUCCUCCACCCCCACCCUCCCCUUUUUUAAGGGGGUUGUUUUACUUGUUCCUUUUUCUCCUUUGGCUAAAGACUUCUGGUGGCCUUACAGUUAACCUGGACCUACACACUUCGUUAAGUUUUCAAAUUUGAAGUAUACAUAGAUGCUGAGUUCAGGAGCCAUUCUCUCAUCUUCAGGUGGUAGGCUGACUAACCUUCUCAUUCAUAGCCAGGAUCAUCAUAAGUUUUCUGAAGAGAGUAAUGAAAUCUAAGAAGAGGUCAACGCAGUGCCUGAAACAGAAGAACCAGAUUAUAAGUUGGCAUUUCCCACCUUCCUUUAUCCACAGUCCACAGAGGUGCAGGACAUAAAAACCCCGUGUCUACCCCACAAGUGAGCUUCACCGAACCACCAACUAAGUAAAACUCUGGUGUCUGAGAUCCUUUACAACUCAACAAAGCCAUGCAGCACAGGGAAAAGAAAAACUCAGCUUUAGACUCUGCAGGGGCCUAUAUCUGAACCCUGAACUACCAUUAACUAGUUAAGAAACUCUGAGAGGAUUACUACGUUAUAAAAAAUGUAUACAUUAAAAAGAAUGUGUUUCUUCUUCUCAUGGUUAAAGGUUUAAAAAAAUACAAAAAUAGGGGUGCCUGGGUGGCUCAGUCGGUUAAGCGUCCGACUUUGGCUCAGGUC